rnacentral:rRNA from 1 species
AACGAACGCUGGCGGCAUGCCUAACACAUGCAAGUCGAACGAGACCUUCGGGUCUAGUGGCGCACGGGUGCGUAACGCGUGGGAAUCUGCCCUUGGGUUCGGAAUAACAGUUGGAAACGACUGCUAAUACCGGAUGAUGACGUAAGUCCAAAGAUUUAUCGCCCAAGGAUGAGCCCGCGUAGGAUUAGCUAGUUGGUGAGGUAAAGGCUCACCAAGGCGACGAUCCUUAGCUGGUCUGAGAGGAUGAUCAGCCACACUGGGACUGAGACACGGCCCAGACUCCUACGGGAGGCAGCAGUGGGGAAUAUUGGACAAUGGGCGAAAGCCUGAUCCAGCAUUGCCGCGUGAGUGAUGAAGGCCUUAGGGUUGUAAAGCUCUUUUACCCGGGAUGAUAAUGACAGUACCGGGAGAAUAAGCUCCGGCUAACUCCGUG